UCAUGUUUUCUUCCAACCAAGCACGUCAAAAAUCUGGAAAAGGUUUAUGAUGAUUUUGUUUGUGGUGCCAAGAAUUUGCGCUUUAGAGUGAAGAGAUUUGUUAGGAUGCCAACUAGUGUUUUUCAAGUCAAUACUGGAAAGUCUCCUUGUGGAGAAGGUUAGAAACGAAGAAUAUUCCCAAGAUAACGAUGAAUUUUAAUAUGAUGAAGAGUCUUCAAAAUGAUUAUUAUC